rnacentral:lncRNA from 1 species
UUAUAAGAACACAACAAACGAUAACCACACCCAGCGGCUACAUAACUCGUCAUCUGCAUUUUUAUGGUAAAACAGAGUUGAAAAUGCAUCAAAGUACAUAUAAACCGGAAUGUCGGUAGAUACGCCUUUCUUUACUACCUCCAUAGACUGAACUUUUAAAAAGUACACUCCUUGUCAACCUUACUCUCAAACUGCAAGACAGUCUUCUGCAUUUCCUUGUCCAAUUCACCGUACAGUGAACUGAUCCUCCGCAUCUCUCUGGUUCUUAGCUGCAACAGAAAACGAUUGACAGUG